rnacentral:rRNA from 1 species
CAGCAGCCACGGGAAUACGAAGGGUGCAAGCGUUAAUCGGAAUUACUGGGCGUAAAGCGCGCGUAGGUGGUUCAUUAAGUUGGAUGUGAAAGCCCUGGGCUCAACCUGGGAACUGCAUUUGUGACUGUAUAGCUAGAGUACGGCAGAGGGGGAUGGAAUUCCGCGUGUAGCAGUGAAAUGCGUAGAUAUGCGGAGGAACACCGAUGCGAAGGCAAUCCCCUGGGCCUGUACUGACGCUCAUGCACGAAAGCGUGGGGAGCAAACAGGAUUAGAGACCCCCGUAGUCCCUGUCUCUUAUACA